AUUGAACGCUGGCGGCAGGCCUAACACAUGCAAGUCGAGCGGAUGAAGGGAGCUUGCUCCUGGAUUCAGCGGCGGACGGGUGAGUAAUGCCUAGGAAUCUGCCUGGUAGUGGGGGAUAACGUCUGGAAACGGGCGCUAAUACCGCCUACGUCCUGAGGGAGAAAGUGGGGGAUCUUCGGACCUCACGCUCUCAGAUGAGCCUAGGUCGGAUUAGCUAGUUGGUGGGGUAAAGGCCUACCAAGGCGACGAUCCGUAACUGGUCUGAGAGGAUGGUCAGUCACACUGGAACUGAGACACGGUCCAGACGCCUACGGGAGGCAGCAGUGGUGAAUAGUGGACAAGGGGCGAAGGACAGAUCCAGCCAUGCCGCGGGUGUGAAGAAGGUCUUCGGAUGGUAAAGCACGUUAAGUUGGGAGGAAGGGCAUUAAGUUAAUACCUUGCUGUGUUGGCGUUACCAACAGAAUAAGCAACGGGUAACUUCGUG
rnacentral:rRNA from 1 species